GAGUUUGAUCUUGGCUCAGAGCGAACGCUGGCGGCAGGCCUAACACAUGCAAGUCGAACGAACUCUUCGGAGUUAGUGGCGGACGGGUGAGUAACACGUGGGAACGUGCCUUUUGGUUCGGAAUAACUCAGGGAAACUUGUGCUAAUACCGAAUGUGCCCUUCGGGGAAGAUUUAUCGCCAUUAGAGCGGCCCGCGUCUGAUUAGCUAGUUGGUGAGGUAAAGGACUCACCAAGGCGACGAUCAGUAGCUGGUCUGAGAGGAUGAUCAGCCACAUUGGGACUGAGACACGGCCCAAACUCCUACGGGAGGCAGCAGUGGGGAAUCUUGCGCAAUGGGCGAAAGCCUGACGCAGCCAUGCCGCGUGAAUGAUGAAGGUCUUAGGAUUGUAAAAUUCUUUCUACCGGGGACGAUAAAUGACGGUACCCGGACGAAGAGGCCCCGGCGUAACUUCGUGCCAGCCGCCGCAU
rnacentral:rRNA from 1 species